ensembl:lncRNA
UAGUCAGGCAAGAGCUGACCAGGCUCAAACACCAAUAUAGUGUGAUCGUUCACACCGCCUAGACUAGCGGUGCUGCCAAACUGCCCGUGCUACGGCAUGAGAUUUGGCUGCAUCUAGAAAGAACGAGAUGUCAGAGCUGGGUUGUGGUGACUUCACUUAAGCACAAUGCAUUGGAUACAAUUUUAUCUGAUGUCGAAGGAGGGCUGAACUUGCUGUCUAUUGUGAAGUUGGCGUCAGUCAGAUUGGUGAUACGAAUUGGAGACUUUGGGGCUAAAGAUAUGCAGGACCCACUUUUUCCCUGGGGCAAUACUUUGGAGUGCCAGUGCCUGCACACACAGGCAUUCACCACCUGCUUCUGGCCUCCUUCCAUGCACCACAUCUACACACAACACUAUAACAUCCUUAACACUCUUGAGAAAUGCACAACUCUUUCCAACAGACUGCAAAAGCAGAAGACAACAUUCUAGGACAUGGGAAUUGCCUCAACCUACUCCACUUAUGCUGAUGUUCCUCCCAGAUCAGCAUUUCGAACCCAACAUUCUGCAUUGAACAGUUCCACUCUGCACAUUCUCUAUUGGCGCAUUUGGCUACUCAGUGGCACACUCAGGAUUUGCACGAGGGCUUUCUAUUCCUACCCAAAGGAAUUCACUUGUACUGUACAAAAUUUAAUCAAAGCUAAAUUGUUGGAGCUUAUUAAAGACUCUGCCAUCUCUUUGUGCUACUUCAUCUACCUUAAAAAAAAAAGCUGCUGAAGAUCUGAUGCCAGGUGAAGCUGCUGUCUAUACAUGGCAAAGAUAAUAAGGUCUUUCAGCUCUCUGCUUGUAAAAAUUUAUACCAGUAUGUGGUCCUGGUGACUAAAAUUACAGGCAUUUAGACUGUCAGACAGGGAAAAACUAAUAUUAAAAUAGCAAAGCGAUGCUGUCGUGGUAAUAGUUAUUAGGUCUUUUAUUUCUUAAAAUAGCCUGGUUGUAGAAGGUUAUUUUGUAGCAGGUAUGUUAAUAAGGGGUCUGCAGUAUUUUGCAGCUCAUUAAUUGUUGAUUACAUAAGUGGUUUUGAAUGAAGCCCCAUUGGAAAGUCCUGCCACAGAGUCAAGCUGACAGGAUUUUGCUUUCUUUUUUAUUAUAGUCAAUAGCUUAUUUGUAAAGAACAUAAUUGCUCUUUGUUCUCAUGUUAGGCUUUCAUUUUAUGGAGCAGGCUAACAUUUUAGAUCAACAAAAGUAUUUCUAACAAAAAAGAAAAGAAAAGAAAAGAAAAGAAAAGAAAAGAAAAGAAAAGAAAAGAAAAGAAAAGAGCACCAGGCAAAUCAUUACAGGACUGACUGACAUUACAGCCCUUUUGAUUGAUUUAGCACCCAUGGUCAACCAAAGAUCUUUGGCUAUUGACCCUGUAAUUGCUGUCUGAGGUCUUUUUAUUAAAAUCUAUAUAGAAGUUGAUAUAACAUUAUUAUACUGUCUCUCUUUAUUAGGAAUUUGCCCAUGAAGUGGUUGUACGACCAAAUACGUUGUACAGAUGCCUCCUACAUCUUUUUUUUUCUUCAACCAAAGCAUGUAGUCGUCUACCUAGUAUAUACAGCUCUUGUAUUUGUAUCUCUGUGUAAAUUAACAACUGGUGGAUUAUACAUGUUCUUUUCACAAUGACCAUUCCUAGUGACAUGUUAAUAAUAGCAGUAGAAUGUGUGUCCUGGACAAACUGCUUUGCACUAUAAAUAUGCACAUACUGUAUACGUUCACAUGAAGAAUAAGUGUGGAAACA